CCUACGGGGGGCACCAGUGGGGAAUAUUGCACAAUGGGCGCAAGCCUGAUGCAGCCAUGCCGCGUGUGUGAAGAAGGCCUUCGGGUUGUAAAGCACUUUCAGUGGGGAGGAAGGCGGUGAGAUUAAUACUCUCACCGAUAGACGUUACCCGCAGAAGAAGCACCGGCUAACUCCGUGCCAGCAGCCGCGGUAAUACGGAGGGUGCAAGCGUUAAUCGGAAUGACUGGGCGUAAAGCGCACGCAGGCGGUUUGUUAAGUCAGAUGUGAAAUCCCCGAGCUUAACUUGGGAACUGCAUUUGAAACUGGCAAGCUAGAGUCUUGUAGAGGGGGGUAGAAUUCCAGGUGUAGCGGUGAAAUGCGUAGAGAUCUGGAGGAAUACCGGUGGCGAAGGCGGCCCCCUGGACAAAGACUGACGCUCAGGUGCGAAAGCGAGGGGAGCAAACAGGAUUAGAUACCCCCGUAGUC
rnacentral:rRNA from 1 species